rnacentral:rRNA from 1 species
AUCCCAGACUCCUACGGGAGGCAGCAGUGGGGAGUAUUGCACAAUGGGGGAAACCCUGAUGCAGCGACGCCGCGUGAGCGAUGAAGUAUUUCGGUCUGUAAAGCUCUAUCAGCAGGGAAGAAAAUGACGGUACCUGACUAAGAAGCCCCGGCUAACUACGUGCCAGCAGCCGCGGUAAUACGUAGGGGGCAAGCGUUAUCCGGAUUUACUGGGUGUAAAGGGAGCGUAGACGGCGGUGCAAGCCAGAUGUGAAAGCCCGGGGCUCAACCCCGGGACUGCAUUUGGAACUGUGCUGCUAGAGUGUCGGAGAGGCAGGCGGAAUUCCUAGUGUAGCGGUGAAAUGCGUAGAUAUUAGGAGGAACACCGGUGGCGAAGGCGGCCUGCUGGACUGCAACUGACGUUGAGGCCCGAAAGCGUGGGGAGCAAACAGGAUUAGAUACCCCGGUAC